AGGCAAAGCCACAAUUCCUAAAACAGAAGUUAGAGAAAAACUGGCCAAAAUGUACAAGACCACGCCAGAUGUCAUUUUCUGCUUUGGAUUCAGGACUAAGUUUGGAGGAGGCAAAACCUCAGGAUUUGGUUUAAUUUAUGAUAGCUUGGACUUUGCCAAGAAGUUUGAACCCAAAUACAGAUUACAGAGACAUGGCUUAGUAGAAAUUAAGAAAACCGGCCGAAAACAAAGGAAAGAGAGAAAGAAUAGGCAAAAGAAAGUCAGAGGGACAAAGAAAGCAAAAGUGGGAGCAGGCAAGAAGAAGUAAAGCAGUAAUGGCCAUGCUGGACAGUAAACUGGAGAUGGUGGAUGCUGGGAGCUGGACAGUUGUCUUUAUCAUGUAAUAAACUAUUGUCCAG
rnacentral:misc_RNA from 1 species